GAUCCCGUCAGAAGUCUGCAGUUAAGCGUGCUUUGGCGAGAUUAGUACUAGGUUUGGUGACCUCCAGGGAAGUCCUCGUGUUGCACCCU
rnacentral:rRNA from 1 species